rnacentral:rRNA from 1 species
UACGAAGGGGGCUAGCGUUGUUCGGAUUUACUGGGCGUAAAGCGCACGUAGGCGGAUCGUUAAGUCGGGGGUGAAAUCCUGGAGCUCAACUCCAGAACUGCCUUCGAUACUGGCGAUCUUGAGUCCGGAAGAGGUGAGUGGAACUCCUAGUGUAGAGGUGGAAUUCGUAGAUAUUGGGAAGAACACCGGUGGCGAAGGCGGCGACCUGGUCCGACACUGACGCUGAGGCGCGAAAGCUAGGGGAGCAAACAGG